GAUGAAGAACGUAGCGAAAUGCGAUAAGUAGUGUGAAUUGCAGAAUUCAGUGAAUCAUCGAAUCUUUGAACGCACAUUGCGCCCCUUGGUAUCCCGAGGGGCAUGCCUGUUCGAGCGUCAUUUCACCACUCAAGCCUGGCUUGGUGUUGGGCGACGUCCCCUUUGGGGACGCGCCUCGAAACGCUCGGCGGCGUGGCACCGGCUUUAAGCGUAGCAGAAUCUUUCGCUUUGGAAGUCGGGGCCCCGUCUGCCGGAAGACCUACUCGCAAGGUUGACCUCGGAUCAGGCAGGGAUACCCGCUGAACUUUAGCAUAUCAAUAAGCGGAGGA
rnacentral:misc_RNA from 1 species